GUAACGGCCUACCAAAGCGACGAUCCAUAGCCGGCCUGAGAGGGUGAACGGCCACAUUGGGACUGAGACACGGCCCAGACUCCUACGGGAGGCAGCAGUGGGGAAUAUUGCACAAUGGGGGAAACCCUGAUGCAGCGACGCCGCGUGAGCGAAGAAGUAUUUCGGUAUGUAAAGCUCUAUCAGCAGGGAAGAAAUUGACGGUACCUGACUAAGAAGCACCGGCUAAAUAC
rnacentral:rRNA from 1 species